rnacentral:rRNA from 1 species
UACGGAGGGAGCUAGCGUUGUUCGGAAUUACUGGGCGUAAAGCGCACGUAGGCGGCUUUGUAAGUUAGAGGUGAAAGCCCGGAGCUCAACUCCGGAACUGCCUUUAAGACUGCAUCGCUAGAAUUGUGGAGAGGUGAGUGGAAUUCCGAGUGUAGAGGUGAAAUUCGUAGAUAUUCGGAAGAACACCAGUGGCGAAGGCGGCUCACUGGACUGGUAUUGACGCUGAGGUGCGAAAGCGUGGGGAGCAAACAGG